UUUAUUGGGUCUCCUGGGAUAGCUUAUGGAGUGAUGGUGUGAGUAUGUCAUGGGGUUGGGAUGCACUUAUAUGUGGAGCACUGUUUAAUGGAGGUGCUGAGGGGCAAACCUUUGUGCCAGGAAGAAGCAGCUGAACAGGUUUGGUUACAGCAGCACCGAAGCAGAUGCAGAGACCAUCUUGACAUCCACAGUGCUGAGGCAUUCUUUUCUGUCGAGGAUGGACUUGCAGCUGAUGAAGAGACACCAGCCUGGUGACAGCAGGACAUUCCCAGAGGGCAAGGUGCAGAUGGAUUGAGCCCGUGGCAGAGCACCCCUCCCUGAAGCGGAAGUGAAGCCGGAUAGCGGCAGUCAAGGUGAUGUGAGCAAGGUGGUCCCCUCCCAUUACGCCGAGUUCCCCUCACCAACCAGAUGAUGGAUCCGCUUUGCCCGUCUCGUGAGUCCUCUGGGGAGCAGCACAGGACUCUGUGAUGAAGCCUUGCUCUUCUCUGUUUGAAGGUGCCAUCCUGGUUGGCUUUGGUGUUAAUAGCCUGGGCAUGGAGGUGGGUAGGGAGGAGGAAGAGUGAGGGUCCACUCAAGAUUCCACCUUGUUGCAUCAAUACAGAGCUCUGCACAAACACAAAGCUGGGCACGGCUGUUUUGUAACUCACAAAUACGUUUUAUGGCAUUGAAAAGGCUUGAUAAUCUUGCAAAUCUCUUUUUCCUGAGAGCAGAGUCCCUCAGCCCACGGAGUGUGCCCUGAUCUCCACGCUGCCCUCCAGUCACACACCUGUACAGGGCCAACUGGUCAUUUCAUGGUCAAUUUUUAUUUCAUUUUAAUUUUACAUGGA